GACGAACGCUGGCGGCGUGCUUAACACAUGCAAGUCGAACGAAGAGCGAUGGAAGCUUGCUUCUAUCAAUCUUAGUGGCGAACGGGUGAGUAACGCGUAAUCAACCUGCCCUUCAGAGGGGGACAACAGUUGGAAACGACUGCUAAUACCGCAUACGAUCUAAUCUCGGCAUCGAGGAUAGAUGAAAGGUGGCCUCUACAUGUAAGCUAUCACUGAAGGAGGGGAUUGCGUCUGAUUAGCUAGUUGGAGGGAUAACGGCCCACCAAGGCGAUGAUCAGUAGCCGGUCUGAGAGGAUGAACGGCCACAUUGGGACUGAGACACGGCCCAGACUCCUACGGGAGGCAGCAGUGGGGAAUCUUCCGCAAUGGACGAAAGUCUGACGGAGCAACGCCGCGUGAGUGAUGACGGCCUUCGGGUUGUAAAGCUCUGUUAAUCGGGACGAAAGGCCUUCUUGCGAAUAGUGAGAAGGAUUGACGGUACCGGAAUAGAAAGCCACGGCUAACUACGUG
rnacentral:rRNA from 1 species